CCCUCAGGUAAGUAAACCAGAAUAUCUGCCUUGAGGCUGGAUUUACUCGGAGUCAACCCUCGGGCCACUGUUCGGAAGCUUCCCUGGCGACGAGAACCUGGGGCCCCGAUUACUUCCGCUCCCAGCGGCCCCAAGACCGGAAGCGAAAGUGCGCUGCGGCAGCGUGGCCUUUGAAGGCUGUGCAGCGGUCCCCACGGCGUACUGCAGUGGGAGUGUCGCUGCAAGGUUUGCAGGUGUGGUCUGGCCCCUCCGGAGCGCAGGGGAGCACGGAGGGGCUGAACGGCCUGGCACAGCUGCUUUGGCCAAGGUCCCUCCUCCCCGUGGUCGCCCUGGGGCUGGGAUGAGGCGCGCACACGUCUGCCUCGCAGCCGCGCCACGCACUCCUCCUCCGGCUGGCUACCUGGUGCUCAGGUAACCGGGGUCUGGGAAGACCCAGCUCAUUCAUCUAUCGGAAGGGAAAUGACGAAGUGCAGUCCAGGUCCUGCAGCUCAGGAAUGGUGACAUCGGGAGGAUGCCUACUGAGACCUUCCACUCUGGCGCUGGUGUCAUGAAUGUUGGGGGUGGUCCUUACUGAGCCAGAACAUGUAUGCUGUCUUAGGAAUCAGUCACCUUCGAGGAUGUGGCAGCGGGGCUCGUCCAGGAGCGGGAGUUGCUGGAUGACGCGCAGAGGAACCUGUACAGAUAUGGAAUACUGGACAACUGUCAGACCCUGGCUCCUAGG